CAAUAGCGUAUAUUAAAGUUGUUGCGGUUAAAAGCUCGUAGUUGGAUUUCUGCUGAGGACGAUCGGUCCGCCUCUGGGUGAGUAUCUGGCUCGGCCUUGGCAUCUUCUUGGAGAACGUUACUGCACUUGAUUGUGUGGUGCGGUAUCCAGGACUUUUACUUUGAGGAAAUUAGAGUGUUUUCAAGCAGGCAUACGCCUUGAAUACAUUAGCAUGGAAUAAUAAGAUAGGACCUUGGUUCUAUUUUGUUGGUUUCUAGAGCUGAGGUAAUGAUUAAUAGGGACAGUUGGGGGGUAGUUCGUAUUUCGUUGUCAGAGGUGAAAUUCUUGGAUUUCCGAAAGACGAACUACUGCGAAAGCAUUUACCAAGGAUGUUUUUCAUUAAUCAAGAACGAAAGUUAGGGGAUCGAAGACGAUCAGAU
rnacentral:rRNA from 1 species